rnacentral:rRNA from 1 species
GGGAUUGCCCUAGUAACGGCGAGUGAAGCGGCAACAGCUCAAAUUUGAAAGCUGGCUCCGGCCCGCAUUGUAAUUUGCAGAGGAUGCUUUUGGCGAGGUGCCUUCCGAGUUCCCUGGAACGGGACGCCAUAGAGGGUGAGAGCCCCGUAUGGAUGGACACCAAACCUGUGUAAAGCUCCUUCAACGAGUCGAGUAGUUUGGGAAUGCUGCUCUAAAUGGGAGGUAAAUCUCUUCUAAAGCUAAAUACCGGCCAGAGACCGAUAGCGCACAAGUAGAGUGAUCGAAAGAUGAAAAGCACCUUGAAAAGGGGGUUAAACAGUACGUGAAAUUGUUGAAAGGGAAGCAUUUAUGACCAGACUUGCGCCGGGCAGCUCAUCAGGGGUUCUCCCCUGUGCACUCUGCCCGGCUCAGGCCAGCAUCGGUUCUCGUGGGAGGAUAAGAACAGUGGGAACGUGGCCCCCCUCCGGGGGGGUGUUAUAGCCCAUUGUACGAUACUCUCGUGGGGACCGAGGUUCGCGCUCCGCAAGGAUGCUGGCGUAAUGGUCAUCAAUGACCCGUCUUGAAACACGGACCAAGGAGUCGUCCAUUAGAGCGAGCGUUUGGGUGUAAAACCCGCACGCGUAAUGAAAGUGAACGCAGGUGAGAGCUUCGGCGCAUCAUCGACCGAUCCUGAUGUCUUCGGAUGGAUUUGAGUAAGAGUUUUAACGGACGGACCCGAAAGACAGUGAACUAUGCUUGUAUAGGGUGAAGCCAGAGGAAACUCUGGUGGAGGCUCGCAGCGGUUCUGACGUGCAAAUCGAUCGUCAAAUAUGAGCAUGGGGGCGAAAGACUAAUCGAACUGUCUAGUAGCUGGUUACCGCCGAU